rnacentral:misc_RNA from 1 species
AAAAAAAACAAAAAAAAAAAAAACAAAAAAAAUUUCCUCUCUUUACCUUCCUCCGUCGUCUUCCCUCCGGUUCUCCGACGAUUUUAUCCCUAUCUUACCCCUCCAUCGUCUCUUCUUAUCCCAAAAACACAAAAAAGGAAGUUUUUUUUUUCUAUUUUUUGUUGGAAAGAGAGAGAAGGAUCUAGAAGCUUUGUGUUUUCGUGAUGGCGCAGAUUCAGGUGCAGCAUCAGGCGGCUCCAGUGCCGGGACCAAACGGAGUGGCGGCGGUCCCCGGCGGGAUUCCGUUCAUGCCGACGUCGCUUUAUGUUGGAGAUCUUGAACUUAAUGUGACCGACUCGCAGCUUUACGAUCUGUUUAGCCAGGUGGGUCAGGUGGUUUCUGUUCGGGUCUGUAGGGACUUGGCCACCGGGCGAUCACUGGGAUAUGGUUAUGUUAACUAUAGCAACCCUCAAGAUGCUGCAAGAGCAUUGGAAGUUCUAAACUUCACUCCUCUUAAUAACAAGCCCAUUAGGAUCAUGUACUCUCAUCGGGACCCAAGUCUUCGUAAGAGUGGGACAGGAAAUAUUUUUAUCAAGAACCUCGAUAAGUCUAUUGAUCACAAAGCCUUACAUGAUACGUUUUCGUCAUUUGGCAACAUUCUUUCUUGCAAGGUGGCUACUGAUGCUUCUGGCCAGUCCAGAGGCUAUGGUUUUGUACAAUUUGACAAUGAAGAAUCUGCUCAAAAUGCUAUAGAUAAAUUGAAUGGCAUGCUACUUAAUGAUAAACAAGUUUUUGUUGGACACUUCCUUCGUAAGCAGGAUAGAGAUGGUGCAUUGAAUAAGACAAAAUUUAAUAAUGUCUUCGUGAAAAAUUUAUCUGAAUCAACAACGGAUGAGGAUUUGAAGAAUAUUUUUGGCGAAUAUGGCGCAAUUACUAGUGCUGUAGUUAUGAGAGAUGCAGAUGGGAAAUCAAAGUGUUUUGGAUUUGUCAACUUUGAAAAUGCUGAUGAUGCUGCUAAAGCUGUUGAGUCUCUUAAUGGAAAUAAGUUUGAUGAUAAGGAGUGGUAUGUU